CGAAACCACGGAAGCAAUGAAGCCAGCGUUGGGUUCCUGCCGUAUCGGUGUUCCUCGUAUGUCCCCGGGAAGAGAUCCUCGGUGGGUCGUCAAGCGGCAUGUGACCGGCUCCUUGUGGGUCGAUUCGAGUUCCUCUCUCCCCAGUGCCGGCAUAAAAAGAGUUGCAGUUUAGUUGGUUCGCUGGCUUUGCUAAGUAGCUCACUUGUUGCCAUCAGAAUUUUCCUGUAUUUGAAAACCCUGUCAAUGUCAGCAAGGAGGUUAGCUGAUGAUUGCUUUUUAAUCGAAGGAUGUCCAAGGUGGAGUUUGGUUAGGGGGACUUGUUCGAUGCAGACAGCUUGAUUCCACAAUGAUGCCAGAUCACAGUGAGGAAUGAUUCCAUCGAGGAAUAGAUGCAACUCUGUCCAUGUGAACCAAAUAGAGCUGCAUUCGGUCCGUGGAUUGGAAAAUCACCGAUCCUCUUCGAAUUGGCUUCUCAAAUAAAGUAUUUGCAGUGGCUUUCACAGGAAAGGAAUAUCCUUUUCCUGCACGAAUGGGUUGGUGUGGGCCAAUCAAACUCCAGGAUUUUUGUCUUUUAACACACACUAGUUCGUAUGAGUACCUUGAGCAGGAUGAGGCGUUUGGUCAUGUGUUUCACAGAGGAACUCUGAAUGAAUGAUCCAAAAUCGGCUUGCUCAAAAUAAUGUUUCACCCGGGUGUAGGACAGGGUUCAUGAUGUUUAACAUGCCCCGCUUAAUCCGUAGUCAUGGAAAUUCAUUCCGGAAGCUCACCGAAAAUUUCAAGUGUCGGGUCGACAUCAUCAAGUAUUGGAUCCUUGCAAACCUGUCAUGAGGAAUGAUUGUACUUGAGGACCUCACAGUGGUAACUUGGUGAAAGGUCAUGAUGAUGGAUGGAGUCGGUGUCCUUGUGAAAGGUGAAUCCUUUGACAACAAAGCUAAUAGGAUAGUUUUGCUGACUAGCAUGGCGACUACGGGCGUCGGCAUUGAAUCGCAUUUUUUUUUUUUUUAUAAACAAGAACUGCAUAGAAAAUAUCCAAAGGAAACAUCACAUAACCUUAGGAGAGUUCGAAACUCGCAGUUAGUUGGACUCAAGAAAAGACACUUGACAUAAAUAUUAAUAGAAGAUGGUUUUCGUUUAGAGAAAAUUGUUGGGUAUUAGGGAUAUAAUAAUGCGUUCACAGUUAUGUUUAGUCUUGAUCUGGUGAUAUCAUCAUGGUUGGCAGAUAUUUGAUAAUGCUGUCACAUCCUGCUUGGAAUUCGAUGCUUAUCAGAUGUACGUGAAGAUGGAGAAUACAUCACCAGAGGUCCAGACUAUGUAGAAUCAAAAAGCAAGCAAUGGAAGAAGAAACGAAUGGCAGCUGGACUUCGCUGGUGAAGAAGAGGACGAUUCACGUGGCGAAGGCUGACAUAGACACAUAUGCACUCACCGUAGACCUUGCCUCUCGGGGUACCACGGUGCAAGGGCACCAAAAAAAAAUAAUAAUAAAAAUUCCAAGGUAAAAAAGCUUAUGUGCAGAAAUAAUAAAGUGGAUCGGCAGGCACCAUCACAGAACCUUUGCAGUGCAUUCCAACAUAACCAUGCAUGGAAUCAGGCAGAUGGAGCCUGCAGCCUCCUCUUGCAAAUCAUUCACUAAUACCUACCACAUACAGACAUCAACAUCCAGACAACCAUUUAUCUUUUCCCUACACUCACUCGUUUGUUUACUGCCCCCGGUGAUCCGGAGUCGAAUUAUUCAACAGUCCCAAGAGAUACUCCUUUGAUUCCUCGA